CCCUUAGAUGUCCUGGGCCGCACGCGCGCUACACUGAUGCAUUCAACGAGUCUACCUUGGCCGAGAGGCCUGGGCAACCUUUUAAACGUGCAUCGUGAUAGGGAUAGAUUAUUGCAAUUAUUAAUCUUGAACGAGGAAUUCCUAGUAAACGCAAAUCAUCAAUUUGCAUUGAUUACGUCCCUGCACUUUGUACACACCGCCCGUCGCACCUACCGAUUGAAUGGUCCGGUGAGGACUCGGGAUUUUUACCAGUUUCCUUCAUUGGGAAUUGGUGAGGGGAACUUGUCCAAACCUUAUCAUUUAGAGGAAGGUGAAGUCGUAACA
rnacentral:rRNA from 1 species